rnacentral:rRNA from 1 species
UACGUAGGGGGCUAGCGUUGUCCGGAAUCAUUGGGCGUAAAGCGCGUGUAGGCGGUUCGGUAAGUCCGCUGUGAAAGUCGGGGGCUCAACCCUCGAAUGCCGGUGGAUACUGUCGGACUAGAGUACGGAAGAGGCGAGUGGAAUUCCUGGUGUAGCGGUGAAAUGCGCAGAUAUCAGGAGGAACACCAAUGGCGAAGGCAGCUCGCUGGGACGUGACUGACGCUGAGGCGCGAAAGCCAGGGAGCAAACGGG